GGUGAGAUGGCCGAGUGGUCUAAGGCGCUAGAUUUAGGUUCUGCAUCUGAAAUUCUCUAGUCAUUCAUGGCGUGGGUUCGAAUCCCACUCUCAUCA